rnacentral:rRNA from 1 species
GAUGAACGCUGGCGGCGUGCUUAACACAUGCAAGUCGAACGAAGCACUUUAUUUGAUUUCCUUCGGGACUGAUUAUUUUGUGACUGAGUGGCGGACGGGUGAGUAACGCGUGGGUAACCUGCCUUGUACAGGGGGAUAACAGUUGGAAACGGCUGCUAAUACCGCAUAAGCGCACGGCAUCGCAUGAUGCAGUGUGAAAAACUCCGGUGGUAUAAGAUGGACCCGCGUUGGAUUAGCUAGUUGGUGAGGUAACGGCCCACCAAGGCGACGAUCCAUAGCCGACCUGAGAGGGUGACCGGACACAUUGGGACUGAGACGCGGCCCAAACUCCUACGGGAGGCAGCAGUGGGGAAUAUUGCACAAUGGGCGAAAGCCUGAUGCAGCGACGCCGCGUGAGCGAAGAAGUAUUUCGGUAUGUAAAGCUCUAUCAGCAGGGAAGAUAAUGACGGUACCUGACUAAGAAGCACCGGCUAAAUACGUG